CAGAAGAGAUGGAAAGGUGAACCGCUGGUGCAGGAGCCUGGGCCCCCCGGAGGAGUCUGAGCUCAGGGGCCCCGAGGGAAUGGCUGCGUGUGAUAGGAGCUGAGCAAAGAACGUUGACACACAGGCCCCUCGUGAAUCUGCUUCGGGUCCUGGCCAGCCCUGGGAUCCUCACCUGUGUUCCAUUCCCACCUGAGAGCUUCCUUUUGUACCGUAGCAUCCUCACUGUAAGUCCCUUCAUCCCAGCAUCCUCAGCGUGGCUCUGCCUCAGCAACAGCAAAAUCACCCACAACCAGCCAGAGCUAGUUAGCGCUGUUCUGCCAGCUGCUCUCCUGGACUCUGGGGUCCCCCAGAAGCCGAGGCCCCACAGAAGCCCAUUUCAGAUCCUGCUUGUCUGUGAGUACUGCAGGGUUGCUGAGGUGAGCCUGUGUCCCCAUUUCUAAUCCUGCGUGCUGGCUCCAUCUAGUGGCGAGGCUUGGGAAGUACACCAGCCUCCCUGAAACAAGCCGCGCGGUGAGGCAAGGUUUGGGAGAAUGAAGGCCCUCCAGCCGGUGAGUCGUGGACAAAAACAGCAACACGCUUCAGGUUACUCGAGGCCAGAUCCUCCAGAUGUGUUCAAGCUACCUCUCUGCAAGCCACCAUCACUCUCUUACUUAAUUAUAAACUAUUUCAUCAAAGGAAACAGCAUAACACUCUAGAUUUAAUAGGUAUUAUAUUUGAUUGUUUUUCCAUCAGGGUCUCUGUACCUCUAAGAAAGACAGAGCUAUAAUGAGUUCCCUUGUGGACCAGAGGGUUAAAGAGCUGGUAUUAUCACUGUAGUGGCUCAGGUGGCUGCUAUGGCCCUGGUUCAAUCCCUGGCCUGGGAACUUCUAAAUGCCUUGGGCACAGCUUUAAAAAAAAAAAAAGGAAGAGAGCGUUCUAAGGCCCAUUCCUUUGGCCAUCCUCCCCAAAAGUCAUCUCUGUGCUAAAACUGAGUGCAUUGAUUCCUUGGGGGUUUUUUUUAUUUGCUUUUUAGGGCUGCACCCUCAGUAUAUGGAGUUUCCCAGGUUAGGGGUCAAAUCAGAGCUGUAGCUGCCAGCCUACACCAUAGCCAUAGCCACAUGAGAUCCGAGUCACAUCUGCGACCUACACCACAGCUCACAGCAAUGCUGGAUCCUUAACCCACUGAGAGAGGCCAGGGAUCGAACCUGCAACCUCACAGAUGCUAGUCAGAUUCAUUUCCACUGAGCCAAGAUGGGAAAUUUACCUUGUUAUGUUUUGUUUUUACUUUAACUACACAUUAUGUAUCCAUGUACAAUGUGAAUUUUAUUUUAUUUAUUUUUGUUUUUAAAUUUUUACUUUAUUUUUUAUUUUUUUGCUUGUUAGGGAUGCACCCGCAGCAUAUGGAGAUUCCCAGGCUAGGGGUCAAAUUGGAGCUACAGCUGCCAGCCUAUGCCACAGCCACAACAGCAACACAGGAUCCGAGCCAAGUCUAGA
rnacentral:lncRNA from 9 species